rnacentral:rRNA from 1 species
UACGUAGGAGGCAAGCGUUAUCCGGAUUUACUGGGCGUAAAGCGCGUGUAGGCGGUUGGGUAAGUGGCGUGUGAAAGCUCCCGGCUAAACUGGGAGAGGGCAGGUCAGACUGCCGAACUGGAGGCCGAAAGAGGAGGGUAGAAUUCCGGGUGUAGUGGUGAAAUGCGUAGAUAUCCGGAGGAACACCAGUGGCGAAAGCGGCCCUCUGGGCCGGGACUGACGCUGAGACGCGAAAGCCAGGGGAGCGAAC